CUUUUCACAUGGGACAAUUUCUUCAACUUUACACCAAGUGAAAUUUAAUUGCUUUUCACUUCCUGGAAUCAUUAGGCAUUAGUUCUCCUGGAGGCGGAGCGAAAGGAGAAGCUGAAAAAUAAGUCUGUGUUUAAUACAUUUCACCUUGGAAUUUUAUCCUUCUUCCCUGUACUACUGGUUAUGCGGCAAGUUACAGGCUGGGAAGCCACUUCGGAAACAUUUAGAAGUUCUCAUCAACACAGACACACAGAAUAUUCCAGUCGCAGUUCCAACAGCUCUGUGACUUUGCUUGGGUCACUUAAGCGAGCUAAGGCUCAGGAGUGUACUCUGCUGCAGGGAGAUGGUGACACCUGUGCUGGCUGUUGCACGUCUUCCAUGAGAUGGUAUGUAUGGAAGCCCUUCCUGAGAUGGAAAACCCUAUAACUAGUGUAACAGGGUGGUAGUAACAGAAGAUUUUAAAGCGAAGCUCCGAAAUGCUUGUUCGCGUAGUUUUUUGUAUAGGUACAAGAAAUCUCAUGAGGUUGUGAAUCCUGCGGUUUCAUUUGCAUAAUUCAUAACUCCGUAAUAUGAUAUUGUCUUAACCAAAUAGUUAGCCUUCUCCCCUUCUUUUCUUCAUCCCUUGCAGCCUUUUAAGCCAAAUUCUCAAUUUCAGACCUUGCUGGAAGUCCCCUUGGACCUUCGGUUUGUUAUUUCAAAGCUAGGAUAAAAAGAGUUUGAGGUACGGACAUGUCUAAGAAAAAUAUACUUCUUGCUUUGGGCCUUUUCUUUCAUUCUGUGUUAUUUGGCAAGCUUGUUCUAUUUGCUUGAGCUGUGGGCUGGGGGUUAGGAGACUGACUGGGUUUUGAUCCCUGCUCUGCUCUGUGUCGCUUUGGACCUGGUACUUAACCACUGUAGAAAAUAAAAAGGCUGGUUCAGAGGACAGCCUGUUUUGGUCAGUUCAGGCUGCCAUAACAAAGUGCCAUACGUGGACUGGGAGUUUAAACAACAGAAAUGUACUUUUUCACAGUUCUGGUGGCUGGAAAGUGUGAGAUGAGGGUGCCACCAUGGUUAGGUUGUGCUAAGGGCUCCCUUUCUUGCUUGCAGAUGGCCAUCUCCUCACUGCGUAUUCACACGGCAGAGACAGACAGACAGACAGUUAGCAAAAUCUCUAGCGUCUCCUUCUCUGUCUCUUUCUGUUUUUUUUUUGGUUUGUUUGUUUGUUUUUGAGAUAAGAUCUCACUCUGCUACCCAGGCUGGAGUGCAGUGGUACAACCUCAGCUCACUGCAGCCUCGAGCUCCCAGGCUCAAGAGAUCCUCCCACCUCAGCCUUUCUGGUAGUUGGGAACACAGGCGCACACCAUCAUUCCUGGCUAAUUUUUUUGUAUUUUUUGUAGAGACGGGGAUUCAUCAUGUUGCCCAGGCUGGUCUUGAACUCCUUGACUCAAGUGAUCUGCCUGCCUUGGCCUCCCAAAGUGCUAAGAUUUGAGACAUGAGCCACCACACCCAGCUGGUGUCUCUUCUUAAAAGGACAGCAGUCCCAUCAUGAGGAUCUCACCCUCAUGAUCUCAUCUAAACCUAAUUAUUUCCCCAAGGUCUAAUAUCCAAAUACCAUCACAUUGGGGGUUGGGGCUCCAAAAUAUUAAUUUUUUGAGGGGGAACACAAUUUAGACCAUAGCAGGCCCCUUGCAGUCUAAACGCUGCAAGUCUAUAUUACAUGUGAGGUGUGAUGUAAGUACUGUGAGAUAUCAGAAAAAGUGUAGUACAGAAAAUCCAAAAUACAUCUCACUCCUCAGGAGCACAGCCUGUUUGGAAAGCAACCAUAACACAAAGCAAUGUGAGAAGAAUCACACGAAAGGAGCAGAGACAACAAGGGCCUGCUGCAUUUCGAGAGAGAGAGAGAGAGAGAUUGAUUCCCACUGGAAGAAUCAGGAAGGUCUUCCUGGAAGAGGUGGCAUUGAGUUGGAAUUUGAAAGAUGGCAAGAUAUCCACAAAUGAUUAUGGGUAUGGGGUGAGUGACAGGCAACAAGAGCGAAGUUGGAAACAUGCUUUUUGGAGAACAGAUAAGCCUGAAGUUUUAGCAGGGGAUAGUCCUGGAAAUACUCGUUCAGUCCACCCAGUUCUAAAAGCAAAUCUAAGAACAAUGGAACAUGUGUGAUGACUGGAGAACCUCUUCAGCAAAUUAAUAAACAAAGUGGGCUUUGGGGGAAAUUAACUCAACUACAGGGAGGAGAG
rnacentral:lncRNA from 1 species